AAUAAGUUAGAAUGUAAUGUCACAGAUAGGCAGUGAAACUUUAAUUCAUGCUUUUAGGAUCUCUGACUUGGAUUAUUGUAAUUGUGUGUCGACAGGUCUCCUUCAGGUGUCCCACAGGAAAAGGAAUGGAGAGCUGGUACAAGCAGAGUGGACAGUGAGAGAGAGAGACAGAGAGAAAGGUCUUCCUUUGCUGUUGGUUUACGAGCAUACGGUUAUAACACCAUGUGGAAUGGACUGAUAAUAGAUUUUUUCAAGAAUGCUAAGACUUCCCAUUGUCAAUGUAUUUCCUAGUGUCUUGCUGAAGGGACCAACAUCUGGGCCAUUAGAAGGAAAAUAUGAAGAGGUAUGUUGUUGAGUCACACAUUAGAAUUUAGAAAAAUGAUUUGUUCUCUCUAUUAUAUUCAUUUUGAGUUAUUGUUAUUAUUAUUUUUUAUUCAUUUUGAAUUAUUAAGAAAAAUUUACACUUCAACUUCAUGAGUUCUGGACCAUGAUUGAGUCUAGAUUUCAACCAGCUAAUCAAGGUCAUAAUCAACUUGCAGCAGCCGCCAUGGUUGGCUAAAUAUACUUUUAUUUUUUUGAAAGAUUUAUUUUAUUUAUUUGAAAGAGUUACAAAGUGGUGGGGGGGAGGGAGGGAGAGAGAAAGAGAGAGAGAGAGAGAGAGAGAGAGAGGUCUUCUAUCUGCUGGUUCACUACCCAGAUGGCCACAAAGGCCAGAGCUGCGCCAAUCUGAAGCCAGGAGCCAGGAACUUCUUCUAGGUCUCCCAUGUGGGUGCAGGGGCACAAGUCCUUUGGCCAUCUUCUACUGCUUUCCCAGGCCAUAGCAGAGAGCUGGUUCAGAAGAGGAGGAGCCGGGACUAGAACCAGCACGCACAUAGGAUGCCGGAGCUUCAGGUCAGAGCUUUAACCCGCUGCACCACAGCACUAUCCCUAAAGAUAUUUUAAAUCCUUCCCUUUUUGUUUCUUUUUCUCUAAUCUACCAUCUUCAGAACUGUUCUCAAGGUGAAUCUCCAGUCAUACUACUUAUUUUUGAAUCCUGGUUUUAUAUGUAGCAGCUAUGUGAUCUUAGAUUCAUUGCUUAAACUUUACAUGCUUUACUUUCCUUGUCUAUAAAAUAGUUAUCAUAGUACCUAUCCCACGAAUUAACUGUGAGCACAAUUAAAGAAGAAUAGUGUAAAGACAAAAUAAGUGUUUAGUAAAUGAUAGCUAUUGUCAUGAUUAUUAUUAUUGAGUAUAAGUCU
rnacentral:lncRNA from 1 species